rnacentral:rRNA from 1 species
UACGUAGGCAGCAAGCGUUGUUCGGAGUUACUGGGCGUAAAGAGUGCGUAGGCGGUUUCCUAAGUUUGGUGUGAAAUCUCCCGGCUUAACUGGGAGGGUGCGCCGAAGACUGGGGAGCUAGAGGAUGGGAAAGGCAAGCGGAAUUCCUGGUGUGGCGGUGAAAUGCGCAGAUAUCAGGAAGAACACCUAUGGCGAAGGCGGCUCUCUGGGACGGUACUGACGCUGAGACGCGAAAGCGUGGGGAGCGAACAGG